rnacentral:misc_RNA from 1 species
UCAACUUGGAACAUUACCGCUGCAUUCAGACUUGUUUAGAGAAGGAAUAAAAAAGCUAAUGUUUUCACGUAUAUUUUGAAAAAUUAAAAAGUUGUAUGUAUGUAUGUACAUGCACUUUAUUAUUUAAUUAAGAUGUUUUAUUUGUCAAGAAAAUUAAAAUCGUAUUUACGCUUUAUAUUAUUUCUUUUCCCUUUCAAACCCUCUGGAAUACGCAUCAGAUAUAAUUACAAUAUAGACGUCUGGCACAAGUACAAAGUAGUCCCAGACAGUUGUUAUCGUUACGUCGAACUUUGGAUACGUCGAUGCAAUUUUUACAGUCCCUUGAAUAUCGAAGUAACGGUAUUCGACUGUAUUUAUGUGUUUACAUCCGAAACGCUACUGGAGAUUGAAACUUUCAUGGCAUGUAACUUUACGAAAGGCUGUCAGUUAUUAAGUGAACACGUGUAUUUUUGUCAGGUAUGAAAUGCAAGCUAUUUAUUGCAAUUAAUAUUAUUAUACGUCUCGUUUUCAUUUGAUAAAGUACUUCGUUCCAAUGAAAGCGUAGUAAAUAGAUCAAUACAAAAUAUUAAUCGAAAAAUUUCUCUAAUGCUUGUUUAUAUUAGACAGCCAUCUGAGACUAUGGUCUGGAACUAAUAAGACAAUCCUUAGUCGGAAUUAUUGGUUUCAUAAAUGUUUUCUGAAUUUUAAUAUUUUAACUCAUAUCCCAAUAGUGUGUUGAAAAGCUUCAAAAGAUUGCACUUAACGUGGACAUUUUAUAUAUACCAUUAUCACGAACCAAGCUUUUACGCAAUGUAUGGAGACAUGUCAUAUGGUGAUGUGCUGAGACUGAUGCACCAUUAGCAAAGAUAAUUUCAACAAGAAAAUGAAGUUCUUUAAUUACAAUAUGACAUUUCGUCGUUAGAAAAGCGCACAACACAGAAAACAAGAAAUAACGAAACGCUCUGUGUGAGGCUGGAACCCACAUUGGUUAGUGUUACAAAGUUUAAUGUAUUAACCACUAGGCCUCCGAGGUCCCGCAUCAUUUUAUAGUUCCAUCAAGCUUUUGUCAUACAGAAAUUCCACCGACAAAUGUCAGAAACGUUUUGCAUGCAAGAGGUUGACUAAAUACAAUCAAAAUUUUCUCAUGCAUGAGGCGACCUCAUGGGACAAAAUUGCGUACUUUAUGAUGAGGGUUAAAACACAAUAGAAGGAAUAAUGAUGAAUCAAGUACCAGACGAUCAUAAUGAAUCUUCAUAUGUUUCCCUGACAUGUAGAUGACUGUUGUUUAAAAUCCAAACCAAUUUGGUAUGCACCAUAGUGAAUCAAGUUUGUUAAAAAACGGAAAAUCGCGAAAAAUGAUAAAACCAGUAAUUGCUCUGAGCGCUGUCAACAUUGACGUUGAUAUAAUUGAGUAAAGCAUCUGUAGGAACAGCGUGAUAGCUCUUUAAACCAUCAAUUGUGAUCAUAGCUGCAUAUAAAUAUUAAUUGUAGAUGACUUUAGUCAUUACAAGAAUUUAUUAUUCAAUUAUCGCAAAUGAGAAAUAAAGUAUUAGUUGAUAACAUAAAGUUACUUUAUUUUGGAUAUAUCAGAAUACUCCGAAUAAAUAAGUGACUUUUUUAAAUCGAUGAUGUUCAUUUCCUCAGUGUUUUGUAUCAAAUCACAGCCGAUUUUUGACAUUAUUGAUAUUGAAUAACCCGAGGGCUAAUCUGAAAUUAUUGGCGUUUCAGAAUGAUAACAUCGAAUGUAAACAAGAAGCCGUGUUCAGUUUAUGGACAUUUUUUUAAAAAAAUCACAGUUAUCUCGUUUGUAGGACUAUGCGUUUGUGUCAUGAUUUCUUCCUACACUUUCCAAGUGUCAAUAAUAGAUGAUAGCCUUACUAAACUAUUGAUAAAUCGCAACGUUGGUGUAAAACAGGAAGAUAUAUUUAGUGAUGAUACAAAUACCACAUUGAGCAGACGACAAAGUAAUUUCAUGUCGAAUUUUCAGCACAACUUUAAAUAUGUGAUACAAAAUGACAGAAUAUGCAAACUGUAUUCGCCUAAUCAAUCAGUGGAAUUAAUUGUGCUCAUAAUGACCACACAUAAAAACACGAACGAAAGAAUGGCACUACGUGCCACUUGGUUGUCAUACACUAAAAACAACACAGCCAAUGUCAGAUAUGCAUUUCUUUUGGGUGAAAUUGAUGAUGAUAAAGAUAAGGAAGCUGUUACGAAAGAAAACAGUGUGUACCAUGACAUCAUCAAGGAAGAUUUUAUUGACAAGUACUUGAAUUUAACUUACAAAACUAUUAUGGGAUUUAAAUGGGCAUCGACAAAGUGUUCGCAUGCGCAAUACGUUAUGAAAACUGAUGACGACAUGUUUGUCAACAUUCAAAAUGUUCUGAAUAUUUGCAAGGGUAAUCACAGCGAAACGUUAGAGAAAGCAAUCAUUGGGGCUUGUUACAUGAAAGCAAACCCUAUACGAGACAAGAAAUCAAAGUGGUUUGCUUCAGAAGGCAGUUAUCCUGGGAAGUCUUACCCCGGGUUUUGUUCCGGGACAGGUUAUGUGACCAGCAUGCAUGUAGCCAGUGAAAUUUAUAAAAUUUCCCCUAGUGUUCCUUUCUUUCACCUGGAGGAUGUUUAUGUCUCACUGUGUGUAAGAAAGUUAGGCUUUAAAAUUCAGCCCAUCUCUGGAUUCAAUGCAGGUCGACCUAAAAUGGAUCCAUGCCUCUAUAAAGGAAAUAAAUUGAUAACAGCUCAUCGGUUGACACCAGUUAUGUUGAAGUCAGUUUGGCACGGAAAAUGCGUCCAAAAAUGAAAAGGGAUGGCCGUCAUCUGGUGCUGUAAGGACUUGUGGCCCGGCCCAUCACUGAAUAUGAAUAAGGAAAAUUCAUGCCGGUUAAACCCAUGAAAGCUCUAUCUCGAAUCAGCGAUGACAAUACUGAGCAGCUUUAUAAGACCACCAUUACAAAUACAGUGAACGGAUGCAUUAUUACUGUGAAUGGACACAUAAAUGAAUGUGAAUGGAUGAAUUAUUAUUGUGAAUCGACACAUAAACGAUUGAGAACGGAUGCAUUAUUGUGAAUAAACACAUAAAUAAUUGUGAACGGAAACACUAUUAUUUUGAAUUGACACAUAGAUAAUAGUAAACGGAUGCAUUUUUGUUUGUGAAAGGACCAAAAAUGAUUGUGAUUGGAUGAAUUAUUAGUGUGAAUGGACACAUAAAUUAUUAAGAACGGAUGCAUUUUUACAGUGAAUGGAAACAUUAAUAAUUGUGAACUGACGCAUUAUACUUGUGAAUGGACACAUAAAUGACUGUGAACGGAUGCAUUAUUGUUGUGAAUUUACAUAUAAUGAUUUUGAACGGAUAGAUAAUUAAUGUGAUCGUGUGCAUAAUUAAUAUGAAUGGACUCAUUAAUGAUUGUGAACAGAUGCAUUAUCAUUGUGAAUGGUCACAUAUUUUAUUAUGAACUUAUACAUAAUUAUUGUGGAUGUGCACUUCAUUAUAUUUAGAAAGCAUAUAUAACUGUUGUAACGAAGUUAAUCAUUAAUCACAGCAUUUAAAGGAAAACAUUUUGAAAGGAAAGUAUAUAUUGUGAAACGAUACAAUAUAUGCAUAACCAUUAUGGGUAAAGUUCAAUUUAAGUAAACUGCCUCGGUAGCCCAGUGGUAGAGCGUCCGCUUUGAGUGCGGGAGGUCGUGGGUUCAGUCCCCGACCGCGUUAUACCAAAGACGUAAACAAUGGUACUAGUAGCUUCCUCGCUUGGCGCUCAGCAUUAAGAGGGAAG